AUUGAACGCUGGCGGCAGGCCUAACACAUGCAAGUCGAACGAGUGGCAGACUGGUGAGUAAUGUCUGGGAAACUGCCUGAUGGAGGGGGAUAACUACUGGAAACGGUAGCUAAUACCGCAUACCAUCGGAUGUGCCCAGAUGGGAUUAGCUAGUAGGUGGGGUAAAGGCUCCACUAGGCGACGAUCCCUAGCUGGUCUGAGAGGAUGACCAGCAACACUGGAACUGAGACACGGUCCAGACUCCUACGGGAGGCAGCAGUGUGGAAUUUUGCACAAUUGGCGCCAUCCUGAUGCAGCCAUGCCGCGUGUAUGAUGAAGGCCUUCGGGUUGUAAAGUACUUUCAGCGGGGAGGCGUUACCCGCAGAAGAAGCACCGGCUAACUCCGUGCCAGCAGCCGCGGUAAUUC
rnacentral:rRNA from 1 species